UCGGAUGUGGUGCACGGUGCACAUCAGCUUCGCAUACGCCGGGAUUUCGAGGACGUGAAAGGCUGAAGACCGGGGUUCAACUCCCCGCGUCCGAA